UACGUAGGCGGAAAAUUAAGUCAGUAGUGAAAUCCUGCAGCUUAACUGUAGAACUGUUAUUGAUACUGGUUUUCUUGAAUAUAGCUGAAGUAGGCGGAAUGUGUAAUGUAGCGGUGAAAUGCUUAGAUAUUACACAGAACACCGAUUGCGAAGGCAGCUUACUAAGCUAUGAUUGACGCUGAGGUACGAAAGCGUGGGGAGCGAACAGGAUUAGAUACCCUGGUAGUCC
rnacentral:rRNA from 1 species